GAAAUUUUAUUUUCUGAGCUUGCUUCAACUCAGAUUCGAACAAUACAGAGAAGAUUAGCAUGGCUCCUACACAAGGAUGACAAGCAAAUUCGUGAAGUGUUCCAUAUUUUU